CUCCAGCACACUGUCUACUGCCUCUACUUUAGCACACAUAAAAUCCUGUGUGCCUACCAUACAGUACAUAUCCACUGUAAACAAGGAAAGGAUACUGCAACCUAGGGCCAACCUAGCAAUACUUCAUAUCUGGAACAUCGCUAAGGUUUAACUUUUUUUCUAUAUUUUUUAGCAUUUUUGGGGCAAGGAAGGUGAAAUCAGUAAAGAAAAGUUACUUUGACCAAAAACAGUUUUUCCUAAAAACAUUUUAGUGAACACAGAAUGCAAAUGUAUCAUAUUUUAUAAAGUUAUCCUACUUUAUUUUACUUACGUAUUUCAUGUUUAUUUUCUGAAGAAAAGGAAAAAAAAAGUAAUUAUAAAACCAAAAGAAAA